UACGUAGGGUGCAAGCGUUGUCCGGAAUUAUUGGGCGUAAAGAGCUCGUAGGCGGUUUGUCGCGUCUGCUGUGAAAACUCGGGGCUUAACCCCGGGCUUGCAGUGGGUACGGGCAGACUAGAGUGCGGUAGGGGAGACUGGGAUUCCUGGUGUAGCGGUGAAAUGCGCAGAUAUCAGGAGGAACACCGGUGGCGAAGGCGGGUUGCUGGGCCGUAACUGACGCUGAGGAGCGAAAGCGUGGGGAGCGAACAGG
rnacentral:rRNA from 1 species